AAUUUGCACGAGAUGAAAGGUCGCGUCGCUUAGAGUGCCCGAAGCUUCUAGAAUUUCAUUACGGCGCUGAGUUCUCAGGAAACCCUAGGGUUUCCUUGCCUGUUUUUUUACUUUGGGCCUUUUGGGCCCCGUGUAAACCUAGGUCAAGGUGCUGGGUUUUUUUUUUGGGUGUAAAUGGGUCCAGUAAGCUUAAGUGGUUUGGAUUUGGGCUUUAGCACUGUAUUUAGGUGUUACCGGGUAAUACUUCUAUAUUGAAUCAAAACACCUAGGCUUUGUAAUUGGACUUUUAAAUGGACAUUUUAAAUAAAUAAAUACUUAUUUAUUUAAUUCUUUUAUUCUGUUUUUAGCCGGUCAAAUUUGGGCUGCUACAGCUGCCCCUCUUUGCUCAUUGCUGUGUGACGGGAAUCGAGCAAAUAUUUAGAAAGACCAAAUUUGACCGGUCUUAUCAAAUCAUGGUCUUCAACCUGCUUCUUACAAACUUAUGACUGUCAUGUCGGUAUCUUCGAUCUGCUCUCUGACAAAACCGAGACGCCGAAUCUGCCUUCUUCGAUUUGCUCUCUGCGAAUACAGAGAUGCCAAGUCAUCUUAGAUUUGUUUCAGUGUAAGCAUGCGAAAACCAAAUCGGCUAUGUCUUCGAUUUGCUCCUUAUAAGCACAAGGAUACCAAACCAUCUUGGAUCUGCUUCAGUCUAGUCAUCUGAAGGUUAGAUCUGCUAUGUGUCUACCCUCCGUCGAAUAUGGAGACGCCAAACUUCGAUUUGUUCUCUGACAAUACAGAGAUGCCAAAUCAUCUUAGAUUUGCUUCAUCGUAAACACGUGAAAGCCAAACCAGCUAUGUAUUCGAUUUGUUCCUUGUAAGCACAAUGAUGCCAAAUCAUCUUGGAUCUUGCUUCAAUAUAAACAUCUGAAGGCCAGAUCUGCUAUGUGUCUGCUCUCCGUCGAAUAUGGAGACGCCAAACUUCGAUUUGCUCUCUGACAAUAUAGAGAUGCUAAAUCAUCUUAGAUUUGCUUCAUCGUAAGCACGUGAAAGCCAAAUCAGCUAUGACUUUGAUUUGUUCCUUGUAAGCACAGGGAUGCCAAACCAUCUUGGAUCUUGCUUCAGCCAGAUUUGCUGUGCUGCGGCCUAUUACCCUACUGCUUAGGGGAUUAAGGCGCGUCAUCUUUGAUAACAUGUAAAAUGAUUAUGCCUGAUAAUUAAGAUGCUAUGAUCGAAGUGAGUCGAACAUGUUAUGGUGCAACAUGUUAUGAACAUGAUCCCUAUCCUAGAUGUCACCACUCAUUCCUUCACUUGUCUUUUCUCUUCUCAAAGUAUUAUUCUUACUCAGCUUGUAGGCCUGUAGCCUUCCUCACAGGCUACGAUCCACUGAGGAUGUCUGUAAGAUAAUCUUUCCUUAGAAUUGAAUCGUUGGUUUUGUCCAUUUUCCUUUUGGACUGGAAGAAAGAAAUUCCUCGAGUUCCUUCAUCCCUUACUUAUGUGAAUUUCUCGAACAAUUGUCCUAUUUUAGUUUCUUUUAUUAUCUAGAAAUUCCAGAGUAAUGCGCAAAACUUCGUUUGUGAACAUUUUAGUUCAUCUAUCAUUAUUUCGAUGCAACAUACUUAAAGAAUAAUAGAAGAUGAAUAAAUUUUAAGAAUAAUUGGAUUUGAAUGAAUUAUCGAAAAAGAUACAAAGGAAAUUAAUCUGAAAGCCUAUCUUUGAGAAGAAAAAAAAAUCUAAAGAUAGCAAACAGGCCAAAAUUAGAUGCCCUAGAUAUCGCCGCUUGAGCGCUUAUACAUCAACUUCAUGAAGGGAUGUGUUUAGGAGAUUCAAAGUACUCUGUCGAUGCCCCAAUAUGCAACAUUCUUCGUUCUUUGUUAAGCAAGAUUAUCGGAUGCUUCAAAAUUUGAGUCGCCUUUUCGGGUUGUCAACUCAAAACCCCUUUGGUCACAAGGUGCCCUUUGAGGGUUUUCACCAAGGCCUCUCUAUUUUUUUUUUGAAAAUCGAAACCUCAAAGUGCCCUUUGUGGGUUUUCACCUUGGAUUCUUUUCUCCUUUAGACAAAGUAUUUUUUAACUGAGUCUGAGUUUACUGGGUUGGGUAAACUUUUUCCAUCCAUUUCCGUUAAGAUUAAUGCACCGCCAGAGAAAGUUUUCUUCACGACAUACGGCCCUUCCCAGUUCGGCAUCCAUUUUCCCCUAAAGUUCUUUUGAAUAGGAAGGAUCUUUUUCAGUACAAGGUCUCCUUCGUGGAACUCUCUUGGUCGAACUUUCUUAUCAUAAGCUUGCAUCAUUCGCUUCUGAUACAUCUGACCAUGUCAAUGGCUCUUAGCCUCUUUUCCUCAAUCAAGUUCAACUGGUCAUAUCGGGAUUGAACCCAUUCAGCUUCAUCUAACCUUAUCUCUGUCAAAAUUCGAAGAGAAGGUAUUUCUACUUCAAUAGGUAACACUGCUUCCAUCCCAUAAACUAACGAGAAUGGGGUUGCCUCAGUAGAGGUUCUGACAGAUGUUCGAUAGGCCAGGAGUGCAAACAGUAACUUCUCAUGCCAAUCCCUAUAAGUCUCAGUCAUCUUCCCCACUAUUUUCUUAAUGUUCUUGUUGGCGGCCUCCACUGCCCCAUUCAUUUUUGGAUGAUAGGGAGAUGAAUUGUGAUGCUUAAUCUUAAACUGGUCGCAAACCUCUGCUAUCGUUUUAUUGUUUAAGUUCAAUGCAUUGUCGGAUAUGAUCUUCUCAGGCAUUCCAUACCGACAAAUGAUCUCCUUCUUCAAGAAUUGACUUACAGUUGAUUUAGUAACAUUCGCAUAAGAAGCAGCUUCUACCCAUUUUGUAAAGUAGUCAAUUACCACGAAGAUAAACAGAUGUCCAUUCGAAGCUUUUGGUGAUAUUGGUCCAAUGACAUCUAUGCCCCACAUGGAUAAGGGUCAUGAAGAAGUUAUAACAUGCAAAGGUGAAGGUGGUACAUGAAUUUUGUCCCUAUAAAUCUGACACUUAUGGCAUUUCUUGGUAUAGUUGAUACAGUCCCCUUCCAUAGUGGCCCAAUAAUAGCUAAACCUCAUGAUUUGCCUUACCAUCGUGAACCCAUUUGUAUGCAUCCCACAUACACCUUCAUGAGCUUCUUCUCAGAUUAGCUUAGCUUCCACAGCAUCGACACAUCUCAAAAGUACUUGGUCUUUCCUUCUCUUGUACAGGACAUCUCCGUCCAAGACAUAGUCGCAAGCUAACCUUCUCAAAGUUCGGUUGUCAUUUUCAUUGGCCUGUUCAGGGCAUUUAUGAUCUCUCACAUAUCGUAAUAUAUCCUGGUACUAAGGGUUAUCAUCCUUUUCUUCCUUCUUAAUGUUACAACAACGAGCUGGAGCCUCGUAGACACUCAUUUGAAUUGGUCUUAUCUCCUCCUCUUUAUUCACCUUAAUCAUUGAGGCCAAGGUUGCUAAAGCAUCUGCCAUCUGAUUCUCGUCUUGUGGGAGAUAAUUGAAGGUGAUGUCAUCGAACUCCUCAAGUAAUCCCAAAACUACCUUUCGAUAAUUGAUCAAUUUAGGGUCCCUUCUCUCCCAUUCACCUCUAAGCUGAUAAAUUACCAACGCAGAAUCUCCAUAUACUUUUAGGGUUUUUAUACCUCGCUCUAUAGCUGCUUGAAGUCCCAUGAUGCAUGCUUCAUACUCAGCCAUAUUGUUUGUGCAAUCAAAGUUCAACUUGCACGUGAACGGAUAAUGAUCGCCAUUCGGGGAUACCAAGACUCACUACAGCAAAACAGAUUUUUAGCGGCGCUUUUUUAGCCUUUAGCGGCAUUUCUAAGCGCCACUAAAACUUUUUGCGGCGCUUUUGAAAACGCCGCAAAAAACGCCGCUAUAGAUGGCGCCGCAAAAACUGGUGGCGUUUAUUAAAAAAAAGCGCCGCUAAAAGUCGUGGCCCUUAGCGGCGUUUGAAGAAAAAGCGCCACUAAAAGUCGUGCUCUUUAGCGGCGUUUGAAGAAAAAGCGCCGCUAAAAGUCGUGGCCUUUAGCGGCGUUUUUCCCACAAACGCCGCUAAUUUUGGCUGAUUUGCAAUACUUUUUUUCCACCAAUAUUCAGCCCUUCCUGCAUUAAAAUCCAACCAAAUACAACAAAUAUAGCAUAAAAUGCGGCCAAAAUACCAAAUUUAGCAUAAAAAAAUACAACCAAAAAUAUUAAUUCUAAAUAAUACUUCAAAUUAACGAAAGAUAUAUGAUGUCAUUAAUAAAGUAUGAUUUAAAAUAUUCUUAGAAUAAUGUUAAACGUGACAAAGUUAAAAAUAUUCUUACAACGGGAAAACUAAUGUCUAAGAUGGCAGCUUUUGCGACUGUUGAAACAUCUGCAUCAUCUGCUAAAGCUGUAGCUGGAGGUCAUCGUACUUUUUCCUAUGCUCUGCCUCUCUCGCUGUUGCCGCUGCCUCCCUCGCUGUUGCCUCCGCUCUAAGUUGUUGCUGGAGUUCUUCAUAUUUUCGUUGAACCUCGGCAAUUUGCUCAACUGUGUUCGCUUGCAUCUGAGCUAUCUGAUCUCUUAACCUCUGAACUUCAGCUUUAGCUUGACUUCCGGAAGGCAUGUAUUGCUGGGAGCCGGAUCCAAAAUAUUGGGUCGGGGUAACACCAGAUCCUUGAAAUCGAACCCGACCGUACCUUUCAGGACCCAAAACUUCAGUGAUAAUUCUGUUAUCAAUGUUCUCAAGAUUAACAGAACUAUCAGUCGAAGUAGUCGCUUCAUAUUCCGCCUUCUUAUCCUUUAGUUUCUCCUAAAAAAUCAAUUAAAAAGUUAGAAACGAAAUAUAUAAUAAAAAGGAAUGCAACAUAACAUUAUUUAAAACUACUAAUGAUGAAUUGAAUUAAACAAUUAUAAUUAAAUAUUAUAAAUAUUUAGAAUAAAUCAAAUAUUAUUAAGUAAAUAUACCAUAAUUUCUCCAGCUUCGGAUGUCAUAGGAGAUCCAUCUUUUUUCCUAUGCGUAAUCUCAAAAAGCUGAAAGCGCCCAACUUUUUGUCCAGAUUUGACUUCCUACAAUAUAGUAGUAAAAAUAUUAUUUAAUAUUAGAAAGUUAUUAAUAUUUGAAAGAAUUAAUAAAAUUUUAAUACCUCGGCCUCAGCUACAGAAGCAAAACUUCUCGACCCUGCCGUGUGCGUGAAUUUUUGUUUUUGCCUGCUGCUUAUUCCAACUCGCUCACGGUCCUACAUAAUGAAAUUAUUAUUACGUAUAUAGUAAACACUAUAUAUAAGAGUUUAGAAAUACGUAAUACCUCUCCUUUCUUUGAAUUCCAGAAUCUAACCGCAUCUUCUCAUUGGUACCUCAGCAUUCCCGGCGGGACAUUUCUCAAUUUUUCCUCGAGGCUUAUGUCUUUCUUAAAAUAUUGUUUUUUUAAAAUGCUUUUAUUGUCUCUCCAUUUUUUACCCAAUGUCUUCUUGAUAUAAUCAUCGGAGACCUCUAAAGGAAAUCUAUCCUAAAAAAACACAAGUUUAGAAUGCAAAUAUGAAUGAAACUUAAACCAAAAUAUUAUAAAUUACAUUCACAUUUUGUUACCUUAAUAUUAGCGAGAGCCUGAUUUUUGUUGCUAUCAGGCAUGUGAUGCCAUGAUUCGUAGUUGAUGGGCAACUUAUUGGCAUUUCAUGCUAAAAUGCCAAUAUAGCCUACUAAAAGUCGAGCUUCAGAUCCAACAGGCUGGCCAUAAGUAUUUCUACUUACUUUGACACGGUCGGCAGGAUCUAAGUCGUAUAAAUCACUAAGCAGUGUACGUCCUCGAGCUCUGCGCGUCCCACCAUUUUCAGCUGAAAAAUGAUAUACUAUUAUUAUAUUAAAAUUUACAAAUAAAUUAAUAAUAAAAGUCAACACAUGUAAAAUAAACGUAACAUUACUUUGAAAUUCUUCAGGCUCGUCAAGUGUCUCUGGCACAUUCGAAGAUCCAACAACUGUCUGCUGUUCACUAUUUCCUUCUUCCGAAUUUAGAGUAUUUUGGACAAUACUUAAACCACGUAAUCUUCUUCUACGCAUUUUUCCUGCAAUACACAUAAAAUAGUUAAAGUUUUAGUAACAAAUUACAACAAUAAUAGUACAUAUAAAAUAGUCAAAUUAUAUAACAUGACCAAGAUUAAAAUUAUAAUAUUACAUAUAAUUAAAAAAACGUAAAAUCUUACUACAUCAUUAUUCGUAAAUAUCUUCAUUCACAUCAUCUCGAACCCAUUGAUAUUGUGUACUAGUACUAGGGAUAUUUUCAUCUAAGUUUUGUUCUGGAAAAGGUAAUGUUUCUGAUCUUUCAACAAUGUCAUCUCUACUUCCAUUACCCAUGUCAAACAAGUCUCUAGGGGUGUUCCGGAGUACAACAUACCAACCUUCAUCAAUUGGAUCUUUCGAAUAAAAAACUUGUUUCACUUGAGAGGAAAAUACAUAUGGCUCGUCCAUCAAUUGUUGUCCAGUGUGAAUCAAGCGAGAGAAAUUCACCAUUGUAAAACCAAAUUGAUCUUUUUUAAUUCCUCGAGCAGUAUUAACAUCAGAACAAUCACACCGAAAUAAGAUAACUUUCCAUCUACCAUAGUAAUCCAACUCAAUAAUGUCGGUAAGAAGUCCGUAAUACUCCACAUUACCCUCAACCGGAUUACUAUCCCUAGCACUAGCAUAACUUGUAAUUGAAGAAUUAACAACAACUCCACAAUUUUGAGUUCUCCUCAUUCUCUCGCGAUACUUUGUAUGAAAUCUGUAUCCAUUGAUGAGGAAGGCACUAUAUCUUUUUAUUACUCUGUUCGGACCUUGGGAAAGCCAUUUAAUUUCGUCAUUGACGUCCUUCCCACUCCAAACCUACUGAAUCGAAAGUAAAUUAAAUAAUUAUAAAUGUAUUAUGUAAAAACAUUCUUAUUUGAUUAACUAAAUUUCGCGAUUAUAUGUAACUUAUUAACUUUAGUUACAUACCGUUUGACUUAACCAUUCAUGAAAAGAUUAUGUGAAUAACUUAUUAAUCUCUCGAUGUUGUAAUCUUUGAGAGCGUGCACGAGAUCUCAAAAUUUGUUUGUACUCACUAUAUUAAAAACAAGUUUAAUUGGUUAGAAGAUAAACAAAUCAAAACGACGAAUAUGUAAGACAAUUUUAUAACUUGCGCAACGAUUCAAUUGAAUCAUGGUGAAAAAGUACAUAUCGAUGUGCCUGUAUCCACGAUAUAUCAUCUAAUUCUACAAUUUCAACUUUGCCGAUUGGUUCUCCAUAACUUUGAAAUAAAUAAGUUUCGGCCAAGUCAUGAUCAUUGAGCCCAGCAUUUCUACUUGGUCUAUUCAAUCGUGUUUCAGCAUCUUCUAAAUAUCUAGAACAGAAGGUCAUGCACUCUUCUGCCAAGUAGCCUUCAGCAAUUGAUCCUUCUGGAUAACACUUAUUGCGACAAUAUGACUUCAAUUUGCUUAGGAACCUAAACACGAUAUACAAUAUUUAUCAAAAGCUGUAACUAAAUGUAUAGAGGUGAAUGAAUGAAUACUUGAGAAAUAAAUUAGCACCUUUCUAUAGGAUGCAUCCAUCGAUAAAAAAUCGGUCCACCAAGGAUUGCUUCGUGAGGGAGAUGGAUUACCAAGUGCACCAUAAUAGUGAAGAAGGAAGGUGGAAAGAUCUUCUCUAAAUUGCAUAAAGUUAAAGCCGCUCGAUCCUGUACUUUCUCAAGUUCUUCGACAUUCAAAACUUUGCCACAAAUAGCUUUCAUUAUACUAGAUAGUUCAAUUAUACAGGACGUUACAUUUUUUGACAUACAGCACCGUAAAGCAAUUGGGAGUAAAUCUUGCAUCAAGAUGUGGUAAUCAUGUGAUUUUAAUGAAUAUAAUCUUCGGUCUUUGAAACUCACACAUCGAGAUAUAUUUGACGCAUACGCAUCUUGAACCUUUAUAUCCUUCAACACCAUGCAGAAAACUUCUUUCUCUUUCUUUGACAUUGAAAAAAUAGAAGGCGGCAACCGAUAUUUCCCAUUCGGCAGUAUUUGAGGAUGAAGAUCAUGCCGGAUUCUCAUGUCAACUAAAUCAAGUCGGCUCUGAAGAUUGUCUUUGAUUUCCCAUCGACAUUUAAAAUUGUCCCAAUAUAUUCUCGCAGACAUUCUUCUCAAUAUGCAUGACAUCAAGAUUGUGGCGUAAAAUGCUGUGCUCCCAAUAAGGCAACUAAAAAAAAUACUCCUUUUCUUCCACAAUUCCUCCUCAUUAGGAUCAUCCUCUUCGUCAGAUUCAUCAUCAGAUUCAUCCCUUGAUCUGCUCCUUGUUUGCGUGAUAGGUGGUUGAUUCAUCUUCCCGUAACUAAAGUUGAUAUCUUUUAACAUAAACAAGAUUUCAGAUCCAACGGUCUGCUCAAGAGCUCCUCUGUACUCUUCAGUACCGUCAAAUAGAGUCCUCUGAAAUCUAAAUUUAUGAUUUUCAUCUAACCACCGACGAUGGCCCAUGUAAGAGAACUUCUACGCAUUAUACAACCACUUCGAACAAGUUUGCGCAGCACAACAAGGACAGGCAUAACGUCCUUUAGUACUCUAACCUGAUAAAUUAGCAUAAGCCAGGAAAUCAUUAAUUGUCCACAAUAAAGCUGCACGUAAAUUAAAGUUCUCCGUUCUCAAUACAUCAUAUGUCUCAACACCCGACCAUAAUUGUUUUAACUCUUCAAUAAGUGGCUGCAAAUAGAUGUCAAUAUCAUUUUCGGGACCUUUCUCUCCAGGGAUAAUCAUUGAUAAAAUAAAUGAAGAUUGCUUCAUGCAAAUCCAUGGAGGCAAAUUGUAAGGAACAAGCACUACAGGCCAAGUACUAUACGAAGUACUCAUGAUUUUAAAUAGAUUAAAGCCAUCAGCUGCUAGCCCAAGCCUCACAUUCCGAGGAUCGCUUGCAAAGCUUGGAAAUUUACUGUCAAAUGAUUUCCAAGCUAAAGAAUCCGCAGGAUGUCUUAAUAAUCCAUCAUCGGUCCGUUGAUCAUUAUGCCACCUCAUAGAUUCGGCUAUCUUUAAGGACAUGAAAAGCCUUUGAAGUCUUGGUAUCAGGGGAAAAUAUCGCAAGACCUUGACUGGCUUCUUUCUUAACUGUUCCCCCUUCAUCCGUAUUCACAUCUUCUGUAUUACUAUUCAUCCAAUGAGACUUACCGCAAACAUGACAAGAUUGUUGGUUUUUCUGAUCACCCCAGUACAACAUGCAGUCAUUUGGGCAACUAUGAAUUUUAUCGUACCCAAGGCCCAAAUCUUUUAUUAGUCUCUUCAUAUCCUGACAAGACUGGGGAAUUUUUGCAAGCGGAAACAUCUCUCUUAGAAACUCUAGCAGCAUUGUAAAAGAGUUUCCGGUCCACCCUCCCAAAUAUUUUAAGUGAAAUAGACGAAUGCAGAAGGACAAUUUCGAAUAUUUUGAUCCCUCGUAAAGUUCUUCAUUCAUUUUAUUAAGUAAAUUGUAGAACUUAGCCGCUUCUUCAUUUGGCUCUUCAUUAGGUGCACUUGUUCCCGUUUCGCAAAAAACAUUUCCAGUAAUAUUACAAUCCUCAGAUAUAAUAAAGUCAGGUGGAAACGAUUGCUCACCAUGACUACGCAUAUUAAAUGCAUCCCGCAACAUAUCUUCCAUGUCAUCUUGUCUAACAUACUGAUGGUAAUCAGUAUCAGGAUAAGUCGGAUUAAUCGUUGAAGAAGUUCCACUAGAUGUACACUCUCAAUGGAAAAUCCAUUUUUUAUACCCCCGAAUAAAGCCAUCAACAAUUAGAUGUUCGUAGACAACUUUACGAAAAUGCCAGUAGAUGUUGCCACACUUCUUACAUGGGCAAAGAAUCAUAUUCUCUUGGCUUGCAUUUUGAAAUGUAAAAUUUAGAAAAGUUUGUACUCCAUUUUGAUAGACAUUGCUUACCCUUGACAAUUUCAUCCAACUCCUAUCCAUUUUGUAGUUCUUGAAAUCUAAAGUUCACAACAUAUUACAGUUACUUAAAUGUUCUCAAUUGAUUUAAAUCAUAUCAUUAUACUAAAUAUCAAGUCUCUAAUGGGUAUAAACUAAUUCAGGCAAGUUGCGAGAUUUUCAACUAUAGAUUUAUGUAUUAUGUAAGUUAAGUAAAUUUCGUAAACUAGUUAUGUAUGAUAUGAUAUAUAUUUAAGUAUUAUGUAAGUUAUGUAAGUUAUGAUAUGAUAUAUAUAUUUAUGUAAAUUAUAUAUUUAUCUAAGUUAUAUAAGUUAUGUAAGUUAUGUAAAUUAUGAUAUAAAAUAUAUUUAAGUAUUAUGUAAGUUAUGUAAGUUAUAUAUUUAUCUAAGUUAUAUAAGUUAUGUACGUUUUGUAAGUUAUAUAAAUUAUGAUAUCAAAUAUAUUUAUGUAUUAUGUAAGUUUUUUAUUUCACGAUGUGGAAAAUCACAUGGAUAAUACAUAUCAAGUAUCAAGUAUCUACAGGUAAGUAGCAGGAUUAAAUAAUAUUUAAUUAAAUAAUAUUUAUAAAAAUUAUUUUAAUUAAGUAAUAUACAUGUCGUUCGUUUUUAUUUGACAAAUCACAUGUGCAGUUAAAAUAGUCCACACUUAAUUUAAUUUAUGUUUUACAAGUCAUCUUUUCUUAAGUACAUAUUAAAGCACUGUGUGGACAUCCGUAUUUAGCUUAAAAGCUAUGAUUUAGUUUGAAUAAAAAGUUUAACUUAAAUGGUAAAACGGACGAUAAUAUUUGUGAUAAAACAGAGAAUUUUUUAAGAUUCAUCAUACGCGGCGUUGUUACACCUAGGGAGGAUCCAUUAUAUCUUGCAGCUCGAUAUAAGGCAACCCGUCAGGUUUCCAGCCUAUAUACUUUGAAUCUUUAAAAUAUUUAAAAUAAGGUUGGAGAGAAGGUCAGCCAUUGUUGUAAUUUUGAUAAAAAUUAGUUAUAACUUUUAAAGACAUUUAAAAAUAUUAAAUAUUAAAAUCAAACAUUAUUAAUGCAAAAAAAUAGUAAUUUGAAUAUAAUAAUAUAAAAAAAGAAUCGUAGUUUAAUUUUUAUAAGUAAAUUGGAAAUAAAUAUUCAAUAGUAAAUGAGCUCGAUAGAACUUUUUUCAAGUCUUUUUGAAUUUUUUAAGAUCCAUCAUAUGUGACGUUGUUACACCUAGGGAGGAUCCAUUAUAUCUUGCAGCUCGAUAUAAGGCAACCCGUCAGGUUUCCAGCCUACAUACUUUGCAUCUUUAAAAUAUUUAAAAUAAGGUUGGAGAGAAGGUCAGCCAUUGUUGUAAUUUUGAUAAAAAUUAGUUAUAACUUUUAAAGACAUUUAAAAGUAUUAAAUAUUAAAAUCAAACAUUAUUAAUGCAAAAAAAUAGUAAUUUGAAUAUAAUAAUAUAAAAAAAGAAUCGUAGUUUAAUUUUUAUAAGUAAAUUGGAAAUAAAUAUUCAAUAGUAAAUGAGCUCGAUAGAACUUUUUUCAAGUCUUUUUGAAUUUUUUAAGAUUCAUCAUACGUGGCGUUGUUACACCUAGGGAGGAUCCAUUAUAUCUUGCAGCUCGAUAUAAGGCAACCCGUCAGGUUUCCAGCCUAUAUACUUUGAAUCUUUAAAAUAUUUAAAAUAAGGUUGGAGAGAAGGUCAUCCAUUGUUGUAAUUUUAAUGGACAAGCAAGCUACACGGUAAUAAAAUUAAUUCAUACUUAUUCAUACUUAAGCUGAAUCAAAUAAUAAUUAAGUUGAACCAAAUAUUUAAAAUUAAUUUGGUAACAAAAUAGUUCUGCUCCAAACAGAACCAGCAAUUAAAUCUUUACAAAAUCGCAACCCCAAAAUAUUAAUUUUUCCAAAAUCAUCAUGAUAAAACUAUUAUUGAUUAGAAUUUUGAAAUAAAACGUACCUUAAUAAAACGUACCUGGUCUACUCCACUCUCACCAGCAAACAGAGGCUGGAGUCAAAAAAGUAAUAUUUGUUAAGUAAUUUAAAGUGAAAAUGCAUAGAAAUAAGGAAAAAAAAUUUAGCAACGAAACCUAUACGUACCUAGAACAAAUGUCAAUGGCUGUGGUGUAUUUAGUUGAACCAAAUAUUAAUUCAGGUACUCGAUAGUACCUAGAACAGAUGUAAGAUUAUAAGAGUAGCACCAAAUAUAUUUCAGUUUAAGCAAAUAUAAAAACUUUAUCUAUAUCAGUACCAAAUAUUAAUUCGAAGAUUAAAUGGCAGCUUCAGUUGAACCAAUAGUUGCAAGAGGAGCAGGAAGCAGUAACUGAAAUACAUACAACAUUAAUUCACUAAUACAGACACAUGUAAGAUUAUAAGAGUAGCACCAAAUAUAUUUCAGUUUAAGCAAAUAUGAAAACUUUAUCUAUAUCAGUACCAAAUAUUAAUUCGAAGAUUAAAUGGCAGCUUCAGUUGAACCAAUAGUUGCAGGAGGAGCAGGAAGCAGUAACUGAAACAUAUACAACAUUAAUUCACUAAUAUAGACACAUGGAACUAUAUCCUAAAAGUCAAAACACAAGGAAUUAAAGUAUAUGUACCAUAUUUAGUAUACAAUAUAAUUUUACUUCAUAUAUAUUACUUCAUAUAAUUAUUAUAGUAAUAAUUAAAUUUAUUAACAAUCGUCAUAGUACAAAAAUAGGGAAGAAAAAAUUAGGUGUUGGUUAAAAGCAGCCAAAAAAAAUAUUUUUGUACAAAAUUAAUUCAAAUACUAAGUAAAUCUUGAUAGAAUAACCCAAACAAGAAGGAAUUAUAUAACCAACCUACAGUGUACAAAAAGUAACAGAUAGGCAUUUGAUACUUGAUAAGGAUGCUAACAAACUGAUACAAAAAUUAUCAAUCUGAAUGGCUGAUCAUUUUUUCAAUUGCUCCCUGGAAUGCAUUGAUUUAUCAAAUUAGAUUCAAUACACAGAACAUAAAUGUAAAAUUAAUUAAUAAUAAAACUUGCGUCUCAGAAACAGAUACAGAAGAACGACCCUGAAAAUGUUUAAAAAUUAAAUGUCAACAAAAUCCAACUGAUUUGUACCAAAAUAGAUCAUCUUCAAACUACAACCAUCUAAAUUGAAAAUUGAUAUAAGGCAUAAUGUGAGUAAUCCUUAGUAAAACUUCAUGUCAGUUUUGCGAUAUAAUUCAGUCAAAAUAAACUUCUCAGCCCAAAAAUAUGCAGCAGUUGUUGCAAAUGUUUUUACAUUACAUAUAUUUAUAAUCCAGUAAAAAUAAACUUCAUGUCAGUUUUCCUAGAUAUAGAAAAAGGGAUAGAAAUGACAUCCAUAUUUAGACAUAAGUAAAAGUUUACAAGCUGCAGUGUUUGCAAAAGCUAAUCAUGAAAAUAUUGGUCAACAGAUUGUUGCAGCACAUCAAAAUCUUGUUGUAAAAGAUUGUUGAUAUUAGCAAGAAGUAAACUUUGGCCUCUAGCCUUAACAAGUGAUGUGAUAAGAGAAGUUUCCAACCUAAGUUUAGUGUUAAAAAAUAUAUAUAUAAUAGGAAAAAGAAAAUGGGGGAAGCAAAUGUUUUAGUCGUUCACAUCUGAGCCUAAGAAUCAAAAGAAGUUUAUAAGAAGAAACUCAUUGACAGACAUUACAGACAAUAGGCUAAAAACAAACAGAUCUGAUAAUAUAUUUUCAUCAAACAUUGAUAAUCAUAUAUAUUUAUAUGUUUAAAUAUUUUGAAUUUGGUAUUUUUAUUUCAAUUCAGGGUUGAUUUUGAGGUAACUUGGGUAAUUUUUUAAAGUAUGUUAUGUUAAUGUUAAAAGUAACUUUUUGUUAUUAAACUGUGUACGAACUUUGAAUCUAUUCAUAUAUAUAUCCCACAUUCAUAAUCAUUACAUAGUAAAAAAGAAAAAUGAAAUUCUAUUCCCAAUAAACACAUUUACUUAAUUUUAUUGAAAUAAAUAAAAUAAUUAAAUCUAUUUUUACACGAGUAUACAAAAAGUAAAAUAUAUAUACAUAUGAUUUCCAGUAAAAUUAAUUUGAUGUUAGAGUUGCUUUGUAGCUUCUUCAAGUAUCCCUUUAGAUCUUAUACUAAUAGAAAGUUGAAUCAGAACUUUUUUCCACAUCUGCCCAGUUAUGCUUAUGUUAAUAUGUGAAAUUCAGAUGAUACUAAUGUCUUACAAGUUGUAUCCUAUGAUACAUGAUGCUAUUUAUAUCAUAAAACACAUGGUGUCACUUCAUCCAAAUAGCUGCUUUUUAAACUAGGUUUGCAUGCAGUUAGUGAAUAAACAGCAAAUUAUUGAGGGAAGAAGAAUAGUAUCUCUUUAAAUGCCAUAGCUUAAAGAAUGGGCACAUUAAGAAACAAUACCAUGAAACCAACAUUUGAAGAAUCAUGUUUAAAUCUAAGCCUCACUGACACACAAGUAUACCGUACUAGAUUUAACCAAUUUUUUUUAAAAUCACAACGAUACCAAUACAAAUAUGUCUUAAUAAUCACAAAGUUUAGAAUCAAAUUUUUACAGUGCAGCACAAACAAACUAAAAAAUGGAAUAAUCUAAAUUACAACUGAGUAAUUGAACUAAAACUUGCAACUCAUAGUGGGAUUCAGAUACCCUAUAUACUGAAUUUUGAAUCUAGAUACUUAAAACUCAAACCUCCUCUCUUACCAACUGUGCUAAGACUUUCAUUAAUGGAGAUUUAACAACUGACAUCCAAAUUUAUAUAAAACAAUUAAUUAAUAUUACACAACCAAAACAUGACUACCUAGACGAUGAGUAGAUCAAGGGGGCAAAAACAAAAGAAAGCAUCUCAAAACUAGAAGCACCAUUGACAUAGUUAAUUAAACAAGCAUUUAGCAAGUUAGAAACAUUCAAGUACCAUCAGGCCGCAUUAAUCUUUUCCUUAAUAGUGGGUUGUGGUCCUAUUCAAAAAAAUAAUAAAAUAUCAGAAAUAUACAAGCUUGAUAAGGUUUUGCCUAUGUUAGCAAAAUAAAACAAGAAGAGAAAGGAAGAUUGAAACAAGAAAAGCAGAAAGACCCAGAAAGCAGGAAGACGUUAAAACAUACCUUGUAAAAUUUGGGUGUCAUUGGGAAUCCAUGGAAAAAGCUAAAUCCAAGAAGAUGCCCCCACUCAUCUAUAGAGACAGUUGAUUUGUUUCCUUCUAAAAUCGAGAAGAUGCGCCGGAUAUUGGGAAACUAGGGUAAAAAUUUUGGGGGAGAAGAAGUUGGGGGAAAUUUGGGGGAGAAAAAGUUGGGGGAAAUUUGGGGGAAAUCGGGGAAAUUGACUUUGGCAGAGAGUAAAGCAAUUUCGGGCCACACAGAAACGACGCCGUUUUAGUUAAAAAAAUUUAGAUUUUGUGGCGUUUUCAUAAAACGCCGCUAAUAAAAAUAACAACAAAGUAUAAAACGACAGCAUUUUGCUUCCAUGGAUAAUUGUGGUGUUUUUCAAUAAAACGUCGGUAAAUUUUAAUAUCAUUUAGCCUUUAUAUUUUUAUAAUAUUAUUAAUUAAUCAAAAUACUUAAUAUUAUUAACACUAAUUAAUCAAAACUCUAUACCUUAAACCAUUAAACUAUAUCCCUAUAACCUUAAUCCCUAAAGUAUAUCCCUUAAACCCUAAACUAUAUCCCCUAACCAUAAACCACAAAAUAAUAACCCUUAAGCCUUAACCACAAAAUGUAUAGAUUAAUCAUAACCUUAAACUAUAUCUCUUGAUCCUUAAACCACAAAAUAAUAACACUAAUUAAUCAAUACUCUGAACCUUAAACCAUUAAACUAUAUCCCCUACUACAGUACCGGCCUAAACUAUAUCCCCUAAACCUUAAACCACAAAAUAAAAACCCCUAAGUAUUAACCCCUAACCCCUAACCCCUAACCCUUAAAUCAUAAACCCCAACCCUUACACCAUAAUACAUAAAUCUUAAAAUAGUAACUCAUAAACUUUAAACCCUUAGUCAUAUAACCUAAAUCGUAAACCCUAAACUUUUUAGCGGCGUUUUACCAAAAGCGCCGCUAAUGCUCUUAUUUUUAGCGGCGUUUUACCAAAAGCGCCGCUAAUGCUCUUAUUUUUAGCGGCACUUUUGGUCUUAUUUUUAGCGACGUUUUACCAAAAGUGCCGCUAUUGCUUCGAUUUUUAGCGGCGUUUUACCAAAAGCGCCGCUAUUGCUCUGUUUUUAGCGGCGUUUUUGGUAAAACACCGCUAUUGCUCUAUGUUUUACAAUUUUUUUGGCGUUUUUUGAUAAAACGCUGCUAAAAACGCCGCUAAAGACCUGUUUUCCUGUAGUGACUGCCCCAAUUCCAUUUCCAACUACAUUAGAAGCCCCAUCAAAAUUUAGCUUCCAAGGAGAAUCUUUAGUCGUUGCUAUACACAUUAACUCCUCAUAUGGAAAAUCAAAGUUCAAUGGCUCACAAUCCUCUAGAGCCCUACUAGCCAAAAAGUCUGCUAUUGCACUUCCUUUUAUAGCCUUCUGACUUAUGUAGACUAUAUCAAACUCUGAAAGCAAAAUUUGUCACCUUGCCAUUCUCCCAUUUAGAGCCGUUGACUCUAUCACGUAUUUUAAUGAAUCAAGUUUUGAGAUAAGCCAAGUGGUAUGGUAUAGCAUGUAUUGUCUUAUCUUCGAGUUGUCCAAAUCAGCGCACAGCACAACUUUUCAAUCGGUGGAUAUCUCAUCUCACAGUCAGUGAAUUUCUUAUUGAGAUAAUAAAUUGCCUUCUCAUUUUUCCCUAACUCGUCAUGCUGACCAAGCACACAUCCCAUAGAAUUACUGAACAUUGACAAGUACAGUAUUAACGAUUUAUCUGGGCUAGGUGGAUAUAAUACCGGAGCAUUUAACAAAUACUACUUGAUCUUUUCAAAAGCAUUCUGGCAUUCCUCAUCCCAAGUACCUUGAUUGUGCUUUCUGAGGAGGCAAAAGAUAAGAUCAUAUUUCUCGGUUAGUUGUGAAAUGAACCGAGCGAUGUAAUUCAACCUUUCUAAGAAUCCUCGAACUUUUUUUUUGAGUUUAUGGUGGAGGCAAUUCUCGUAUUGCUCUGACUUUGUCUGAAUCAACUUCUAUUCCCUUUUUACUGACUACGAAACCUAAUAGCUUUCCCGAUCUAGCUCCGAAGGUGCACUUUACCGGAUUGAGCUUUAAUUGAAACUUCCUCAACCUCAAGAAUAGUCUUCUUAAAACUUCAAUAUGCUCUUUCUCUGUUCGGGACUUAGCAAUCAUGUCAUCAACAUAUACUUCAAUGUCCCUAUGCAUCAUGUCGUGGAACAAGUUCACCAUGGCCCGCUGGUAGGUUGCCCCUGCAUUUUUAGUCAAAAUGGCAUUACUUUAUAGCAAAAAAUGCCCCACAAGGUUAUGAAAGUGGUUUUAUCCAUGUCCUCUAGAUGCAUCUUUAUCUGAUUGUACCCAGAGAAACCAUCCAUAAAAGAAAACAACGAAUGUCCCGCCGUGUUGUCUACCAAAGUGUCGAUGUGCGGCAAAGAAAAGUUGUCUUUUGGGCUAGCUUUAUUCAGAUCUCUGUAAUCAAUGCACAUGCAUACCUUCCCAUCCUUCUUAGGGACCGGCACAAUAUUAGCUACCCAUUCGGAGUACUUGACCUCUUGUAAGAAUCCUGCAUCAAACUGCUUCUUAACAUCAUCUUUUAUUUUUAAAACAAUGUCUGGCUGCAUUCUCUGCAACUUCUGUUGGACUGGUUUUCAAUCUUGUCUUAUCGGAAGACGAUGUACUACAAUGUCGGUACUUAAUCCGGGCAUAUCCUGAUAUGACCAUGCGAAGAUAUCCUUGAACUCUCGAAGCAACUCAACCAGACCAUGCCUUGUGUCCUUGGUAAUCAGUGUUCCAAUUUUCAACUCAUUCCCUUCUUCUAGGGCUACAUUUUCUAUUGCCUCUUUCUCAUGCGGCAUAAUUCAUUUUUCCUCCUGUUUUACCAUUCUUAACAGAUCAGGAGACACAUCACAAUCUUGAAUAUCUUCAAAAUCCUGAGAUUCCUCUAAACACCUGUCUUGAUCACAAGAGAAAUCAGGAGUUGCAGUAUCAGUACUCAUAUCAUUGAUAUCUAGGGACCUGUGGGGGUAUGAAAGAAUAUACAAAGAAUGAAUGAAUUUAAGAAUGAUUAUUUAUGUGCUAUGGAUGAAAGAAUGAGAAUUGCAAAAAUUUAACGGAAUAUUGAUUGAUAAAAAGAAACAAUAUUCGUCCAAAUUGAUAAUAAAGUUAUGUUUUAUUAAAAUAAUAAUAGAUAAUCAUGAGCCUUUUUCACAAACGUAAUCUUACUACUCCUAGGCCCUAGAGUAACAGACAUGUUUCGAGAAUUACUCUGAAAAAUUUCUAAAGACUACAAGAAAGUCUUCCAAAGUCCAAUUGUUCAGAGAGCUCCCCGGUUCGCAAGGGCGAAUGCCCUCGAAGCUUUCUUACUCCCAUCCCUCAUUGUGUACAACAUUAAUCUGAUGACUUUCUUUUAUCAGUAACCCUCCUAUCUUAAAGGAUUUGGAUAUAGGUGGGAAUGUCAUUGGUUCCCACUCCACUUCUCCUCUGUUCAAGCGCGCUUUUCUUCUCGCUUGGCACUUCUCAAUCUCUUGCCUCUUCUACUUAUGGUCUGGCUUGAAGCCCAAACCAAAACGAUCUUUCUUCUCAAUCAGUUUUGGGAUUUGAACCCCUUCUUGUAACUGUCUUCUUAGUCAUUUUCCUGGCAAAGCCCCUUUCCCCAUCAUCAUUUGCAGGGCCAUCCUUGUGGCUCUAGACAUUUUGGGUACGAGCACCUCACUUCCCUCUAAAAUGAAGGUUACAUUGAUGAUUUCUAAAGAGCGGAAAGAACACUCAAUAGCCUCUUCAUUUAUCUCGACAUAAGAGGCUUUGCCAGUGACUGCUGCUAUAAUAUCCUCCUCCGCAUUGAUGGUUACUAACCGUCCAUCUGUCACUAACUUUAAUUUUUGGUGCAAUAAGGAGGGCACCGCUCCUGCCGAGUGUAUCCAUGGUCUCUCCAAUAAACAAUUAUAGGAGGGCUUGAUAUCCAUCACCAAGAAAUCAACUUCAUAUGUAUUUGGCCCAAUUUCCAAAUGAAUGUCAAUUCGUCCCAUCACUUUCCUUUUGGUUCCAUCAAAGGCUCUUACUACAUUGUGACAUGUUUUCAUAUGCGAACUGUCAAUGGGUAAUCUGUUCAAUAUGGAUAAUGGAAUGACGUUCAAAGCCGACCCAUUAUCAAUGAGUACACUUGGAAGCAUGUAUCCCUUGCACCGAGUAGUGAUGUGCAAGGCCUUGGUUGACCCUAUGCCCCUAGGUGAAAUUUCAUCAUCAUUAAAGUAGAUGAAAUUGUCAGCAUUGAUGUUAUUCACCAACCGGUCCAACUUGUUAACGGAUAUGUCGUGGGUGACAUAUGUUUCGUUAAGUACCUUUAACAAUGCAUCCUAAUGCACCUCAGAACUCAGAAGUAGGGCUAAUACUGAUAUACGCGCCGACUGCUUACGCAACUGCUCGACCAUACUAUACUCACUAUGCUUAAGGAACUUUAGAAACUCCUUAGCCUCAUCUUUCUUUACCGGCUCCUUGCCAGGUACUUCAACCUCUUUCUUCCCAACGUCAACAUCCUCUGUUUUCGUGGGAUCCACUCUGAUGCCCCCCAUCAUAACGCUUCCCACUUCAUGUAUGAGAACCUUCAUUUUGCACACCCCUAGACGCACUGGCUAUGCUCUCCCCCUCAGGUACUGUUAUACUGCAGCCAUAGCUCCAUGGCACUCUCCUCUCAUCCUUGUAAGGGAAAGGAGUGGGUUUGUGGAUGACGACCUUGGGUUCGGUUUGUGCCCCUACUUCAUCAUUUCCUGGCAAGGAAAUAAUAAUUCUUGGUCGGUUGAUUCCUCGUCGUUCAUUUUCCAACACACAUAUUUGUCUUUUGCAAGAACUACCCUAAAAAAUCUGUAGCUCUUUGUUAACCAUAAGGCCUUGCACCAUGGCCUUGAACUCCUCACAAUUUUGGAUCAUAUGACCCAUCUCUCCAUGGAAUUCACAAUAGUUCCCCAUUCUUUCUCUACCUUUUCCAGAGGUCAACAUUCAUCUCCUCACCAUCUCCUCCCAUAUUACUUUCAUGGGUGUCUUCACCUUAGAAACAUCUUUCUUGAUUCUUCCUUCCUUGGUUUCAUUAAUGGCAUUCACUCUUUGAUUGCCAUGAUCUGGUAAUAGACUUUCGGCAUUAGGGGUACUGUCGAAUUUCACAACCCCCAUCUUGAUAAGCCUCUCCACGGCCUUCUUGAAUCUGGUGCAGUUUUCAAUCGAAUGCCCCGGUAUUCCCGCAUGAUAUUCGCAUUUAGCAUUUGCAUCAUACCAUUUGGGGUACGGUGGCUAUACUGGCUUCAAGUGAAAGGGAGCAAUAGCAUGUGCAUCAUAUAAGCUUUGAUAAAGCUCAUGAUACGUCACAGGGAUAGGCGUGAAUUGCAUCCUUUCCGAAUUCUAUCUUGUGCCCGAUUCCUGUCUUUGAGUACUUUGUUGCUUGAUCGCAGCUGCUUUGGGUUGACCAACUGUGAUUGCCCUCGAGUUGAGACUAUUCACCUCAUUGUCCUUUCUUCCCUUGGGCUGAUCUUUUUGUCGUUUCUCCCUUAAUUUUACCGCCCCUCAUGGCAUUCUCAAUCAUCUCUCCUGCCAUAACUAUAUCCACGAAACUUUUCGUGGUGCUUCCAAUCAUGUGUGUGAUGAAUGAUGCCUUCAAAGUGUUGAUAAACAACAUGGUGGUCUCUUUUUCUAACAGUGGCGGUUGUACUUGCAUUGCUACUUCCCUCCAUCGUUGUGCGUAUUGCCUAAAAUUUUCAUUAGGCUUUUUCUCCAUAUUAUGAAGCGUGAUCCUGUCCGGCAUCAUAUCAGUCACAUGGCUGUACUGUUGUAUGAAGGCUUGUGCAAGAUCUCUCCAUGAACCGAUUCUUGCAUGGCUCAACUGAUUGUAUCACCUAGCCACUGCACCUACUAAGCUGUCUUGAAAACAAUGGAUCAAUAGUUGAUUAUUGUUCACAUACCCAGUCAUUCCCCUACAAAACAUUGUUAUGUGUGCCUUUGGGCAAGUAGUCCCGUUGUACUUUUCAAACUCCGGCAUCUUAAAUUUGUGAGGAAGCACCAAGUCUGGAACCAAACUUAAGUCUUUGGCAUCAAUCCCAUGAUGAUUGCCAGUGCCUUCUAAAACCCUAAAUUUCUCUUCCAACCACUUGCAACGAUCCUCCAACUGUUUUGAAGAUUCGGUUGCCAUUUUUUCCCUCUCCAUCAUAUCCAGAUCAGGAGUGAUAGAGUUGAUCAGACUAUCACCCAAAUUAUUUCCUGACCUAGAUAGGAAAUUCACGGGAAUUCCAGCAUCAACCGGCCUAUGUUGAGGCCUUACAGUGACAGAUGGCCUUCUAAGAGGUACCUCGGUUUGCAGUGGCACAUGAGGCAGAGUAAAACCCGGAGGGUGAUCCUCACCCUCUUCACCAGUGAUAGCUAUGUGGGUCUUCCCUUUAUCAGUGGCCCUUAGAAGCUGAGUCAUUUCUGCCAUCAUAUUCCUCUGAGCCUCUAACAUUUGUUCCCUCAUGUCAUUCUGCAUCUUGGCCAACUGCUCUUGCAAUUGGUCUUGCAUAUCUUUUUGCAACUGUUCGAACCUUUGAUCCAUACUAUUAGUUUUAGUGCUACUGCCAUAGGGAUGUGUGAUUUCCAUAUUUUCUUUUCUACCUCUCUUUCUCAAAAAGAAAACUUUAACUAAUUAAAGUCUUUCUAUAACUUUGAAUGCAUAUGAUGUGAUGUAAUGCAAAUGCAUGAAUGCAAAAAGGCAUCGAUCUCGAUUCAAUCUCAUUUAGAAAAAUUUAUUUAGAAAAAGAAUAUCUUUACAUAUAAAUGGAUUAUAUAUACGCCUUUGCCCUAAUGCCCAAAGUUCUAACUUUAUCUAAUAAAAGGGCUAACUCUCGACCUUUAUCAGACGCUGACUCAUACAUCAUACUCAAAGCAUCAGCUCGUAUUGCUAAGUCUCGAACAUAUUCAGCAACCUCUCGGAUCUGGGCUAUAGCCUCCUCAAUAAUGUAAUCCCUAUCUCUGACUUGACCUUUAACUUGAUGGAGCUCUUCUUUGAGACAAUCUUCUUGAGCCUUGAGCUGCUCAAUCCGAAGUUCACUAUCAUGCAAUGCCACUUCCAAAUCUUCAACCUUACUUUUUAGCUCCUCUAACUCGACUGUAGGAUCAUGGUUUCGAUGCCAACGAAGGGAUCUUCCAAGCUCAGUUACCUUAGUCUUCAACCCUUUAUUCUCUUUCUCUAAUGCCAAAUUCUGCGACCGCAUCUCUUGGCACUUCCUCUCCCAAUACCCGGCUCUAACUUUUUCCUUUUGAACUUAUUUCUACCACUGUUCCGAAGACAUUCCUAACCCUAUUCACUUUAAAGAUACUUGUGCCUUCUUAUACUCCUAUUUUAAAUAAUCUCGGUCUUUCUCAACCUUCCUCUUUUCUUUCCUAACCUUUUCAACCUCCUUCUUUUGCAGGUCGACAUCUAGACUCAGGUAUAUCUUCUCCUCCUCAAGCUUUUCUAUCUUUUAUUUGAGUUCCAAAUUCUUUCUCUUAAAUUCUUGCUUCAUGAUAUCAAGCUCCGAGGGUAUCACUUGUAGAUAUUCCUCCAUUGGUCGAACUUCCUCCAUUUUUCCAUAGGGACAUUAUCGUUAAUCCUUCUACUCCUCCACUCGACAUAUUCCGGUGUCGUAGCAGGAUUAAUGGCCACUCUCUUCAACCGAUAAGUCUUGUUCCAAGCACUAGAAACUUCGUUAACCUUCCUCUUGUAAUCAGCUCCUCUGUAUACAAACUCACUUUGAGCUAACCCCUGAGUCACUGUUACGAACUGUCUCAAUCCAUGCUGCCUCAGCACGAGCAAAAGGGCAUAACCAAUGCACCCCAAAUUCCCAAUAGGGGAAUCCAAUCAAAGCUGCCACAUCGAUAAAGUAUCUUACCAUGAACCAUCCAUGGAGCUCUCCACUCAACAUCCUCCGACUGAAGAUUCCGAAGUAAUGCUAUCCAAUUCUCCUCCGGCACAUCCACUUUUCUAGACGAGGCAACUAUAUCUUUCAUUGGGGAGUAGUUCUUAAAGAAAACUCGACAAACAAUCCUAUAAAUCAACCGGAAGUGACUGUAGAACCAAGCCAAAAGUAACUGAGCACAUCCUAUAAACCUGCCUGCACCAGCCCUCCUACAUACACCUAAGGACCUGAAUGUUUCCGCCAAAAUCGCAAGGACGAAAGUGACCCUUUUGCUGAGUCGAUGAAAAAGAUCCGUGGUUGCCUCGUCCACAUAUCCCAAAGCCCUAGGGAAGACCAUCAGUCCAUACAAACUUAAGGCAAAAAUGUCUACCUUCUUCGUCUCAUCAGGGUGUGUUAAAAUCAAAUCUUUCAAAGCGUCCCAUGAAAUGCACUUGCACUCACCCUUCUCUUUAAUUCUGGCCGUGACCUACUGCUCGCUCAUCUCUUUAAUGGCCAUUAAUUUCUUCCAAAAGGUAGGGACACAAGCAGCUCGAGAAUAGAUCCUAUCACUCUGAAACCUGGGACAAAGAAGUAAGGCGGUGUACUCCUCCACGGUAGGUACGAAGUCUACUUCCCUAAAGGUGAAACAACUGUACACCGGGUUCUAAAACUGAGCAAGGGCUCGGAAUAAGUGCUCAUUUACUUGAAGAUUGAGCAAGUAAGGUAAAUCUCUGUAAUUAUCGUAGAAUAACUACUUGAUCUCAUUGCCCCACUGAUCCCAAAUUUCCUUAAGCUCUUGGAGAUUAUUCUGUGUGACACUAAUACGAGUAUAAUCUAGCAGCUCUAACACAUAUCCCAUAGUUAUACUGUCUCCCUUUUCUAGUUGAGUUUGCUCUGACCAUCUAUGAACAUCGGCGUUGCCCUCCACUCUAUCAAGAAGUCCGUUCUCCAUAAUAAAACUUCCUAACUUAAAAACUGACCGUGAAUCGAUACCUUUGUAAAUGCAAAAUGACAUGCAAACAAAAGAAAAGAAAUAGUCAGUAUCACAUGAUAUCAAUAAAUCUCAAUGAUAGUUUAUAAGGGUAAUAUCUAAAGUUUAAUUCUAACUAAGCUGGGUUCUUACGGUUUUUCUAUAUGAGGUUAGUUCUAAAGUUUAAGGUACCCGAACCAGCAGAUUCCUCGAUUCUCACCCAUUAUAGGCUCAUUUGAAUCGAGUUCAGUUCAGGGGAAUACAUUUCCCUAUAGCUACACGGAGAUGAAAAUCUCACGAAACCAUAGGUACGAAUGUAUCCCGAAAGUGAUCCACUAUCCUGCACGGAGGCGAAAACCUCACGAAGGCGUAGUUUCUCACUCCCACUUAAGGGUGUAACCACAACGGUCAUGCAAAUGCAAUGCAUAUCAGAAUAUAGCAACACAUGCAAUAAUACAAACACAUUUAAUGCAAAGAGGAUUAAAUUUUAAAAUUUUUAAUUUUUGACAUUAAGAUAAGAGAUAAUCAAUUACAUGGCUUGACUCUCUUAUUAGUCCUCAGCGGAGUCGCCAAGCUGUCGAAACCAUUUUUAAAUCGAGUUUUGGAAAAUGGGAAUCGACUUUAAGAAAACGGGAGUCGCCACCAAUCUUUUUGGGUGUGAUUGGGUCACCUUAUAAGAUGUUUUGUUUUAAAACAUUAAUUUUGGUCUACGAAAGUCGAGAAAACAUAUUCGGGAUUCGAUUACGGUUAGCACCCUCGUAACGCCCAAAAAUUAGUACCUAAUUGAUUAUCAAGUGUCUUUAAUGCCGGAAAUUAAAAAAAUUAAGAUGCAAUCCUCUUUUAAUAUUUUUUAUUUUGAAAAUUAAGGUUCACUUGUAUCAAAUGAAUCAAAAUAUUACAUCCAAUAAGUUAGGACACAAUAUUUUUAAGACAUUUGACCCUAAGUUAGCCUUUUUGGAAAUCCCUAUAUCAAAACAACAAAACGCCAUAUCCAGUAAGUUAGGACACAACGCCUUGAAAUUCCGAAACAGUCGCUUGCACUUUGAAAACCUUACAAAUUUAGAAGGGUACUUGACUAUUCGAACUCAACAAGAAAAGUUGCAACCCAAUAAGUUAGGGUACUACUUUUCUCGAAAUUUUCAAACACCAAGCAUUGCCUUUAUUUUUUUUAAACUUUAGAGUCUCGUUUUUAAAAUCGAUACAUGAAGGAGCAUAUUAUCAAUAUAGAACAUCAUACAAGAUAACAUAUUAUCUUAAUAGGCAAGUAAAAGCAUGAACUUAAACAAAUUUUAAACAACGAACAUGGCAAAUUUAAAGCAUGUAAAACAUACAUACAAACAUAUACGACAUACAUUAAAAAUGAAUAAGUAAGCAUAUAAACAUAUAAGGUAUACUCUCUAUAUAUAUUUUUUUAAAAAAAUAAUAGACAAAAGAUGAUGCAUGGCAUACAAUUUAACAUAAACAUGCCUAAAAUAAUACCAACAUACAUGUCAAUUCUAAAAUACAACUCUUAACAAUAAUUAUAAAUGAUAUGUAAGAUUUAAUCAACUAAACAAUAUCAAAAUAAGAGAAAUACAAAGACAAAUAAGUAAAAAAAAGUAUAAAAAAAAGUAUAAAAAAAUAAUUAGAAAUAAGACAUUUAAAAGUAUAAUAUAAGAAUGAUAAAAGAGAACCCCUUUUUUAAAAAUACUUAUAUAUAAAUUAUAUUAUAAGGUAUAAUAGCUAUACAUAAAAAUGUACUAAGUAUUAACAUUACAUUUAUUUAUAAGGUUUUGAAAAUAUAUAAUUAAUAAAGAAUAAUGCAUGCUUUAUAAUAAAAUAAAGGUAAUGUAAAGAAAUAUAGUAUUACAUAUAGUGUAUAACACAAUUUACAAAUAAAAAUAUAUAAUCAUAUAAAUUAUGAAAAUAUAUAAUACAAUGUAUAUAAUAUAAUAUAUAAAAAAUAUCAUGAAAUAUAGUAAAAUAUAAUAUGUGAUGAAUAUAUAAAUAGAAUAUAAUAUGAUGAGGGAUAUAUAAAAUAAUAAUAAGUAUUUUACAUAUAAAAAUAUAGUAAUAUAAACAAUAUAUAAAACAUAUAAAAAACGGAAUGAAUAUAUAUAUAACGAAAUAAAAAUUUUAAAAAAAGUAUAAUAAUAAUCUAAUGAAUAAUUUAUAUACUAUUUAUAUUACUAAUAGUUUUUUUUAAAACAAAAAAAAAUAUAAAAUAAAAAGGAUUAAAAUAGAAUUUAAUUAAGAAAUCUGGGGGUUAAUUUUCGAAAUAAUAAAUAUUCUGGGCCUGAUUGAAAUGCGCGUUAAAUUUAGAGGACUCAUUGGGCAAUUUAGCCCUAAUCCUAAAACGACGUCGUUUCUCAAAUACCAUUUUAAAACUACCGUGAGGACUAAAUUGAAACAAAAUUAAAUCCUUAGGGCUAAAUUUGAAAUAAACAAAAAUGGAAUUAUAAAUAUUAAAAAUGCAAGAGGACCAAUUGUGUAAUUAACCCAAUCCUUAAAAACACGCGGAUCCCCCCGGGUAACCGGGUCAGCGCGCGGAUCCUUAAUCUAAAAACGAUGCCAUUUUAAGCUUAUUAGGUUAAACCAAAACGACACCGUUUCGUUGGGGCUAUAUAAACCAAAAGUUAAGCCCAAAAUUCAUUUUACACUGGUUUUUAAAAACAAAAAGGUUUGAAACUCUCUGCAGAUGGGAAGAGAGGGAUUCUGAUCUUCGGCCUUCGACCUCCGAGCAACUCAGGCUCGUGUGCCUCACGCGCCACCAUACACGGUGAUCGGAGGGUUAAACCCUCGCCCAUUUCGAUGCAGAUUUCGGUAUAUCAUCUCUCUUUCUUUAUUUUUAUCUGUAAACUAAGCAAACUACAUGUAAAAAUCAUAAAUAAUAAAGUAGAUCUGAAGAGGAAAAUCACCUUUCUCAGAAAGAAAACUACUUUUUGUAUAUAUCAGUAGUAAACUUUUACAACUGUUCGUAGAAUCCUUGUGUACAAGUUUGAAGUUUCUCUCUAUCCCUCGUGUGUUUUUGCUCUCUGUGUUUGUGUGUAAAAUCCCCUCCCUCUUUUGCAGAUUUGAAGAAAGGCUUUAUAGCCUUAGGCUAUUAUGUUUUAGGAAAGAAAUCAAAGAUUUCUUUCCUUUUUUGCCUUGGUUUUCUGUCUUUGCUUCCUCUUUUGUUCGCAGGUAAUCCACGAGAAUCUCGCUCAAUCACUGAUGUCUGCACGCUGAUGGAGCCAACGCCGGAUUCCGGCGUGUCUUGCGCGUCGAUAGUGGCGUGACAUCUGAUCACGACGCGCUUGGUGGCGUUGAUUGGGCCAUCGAAUUUGCACGAGAUGAAAGGUCGCGUCGCUUAGAGUGCCCGAAGCUUCCAGAAUUUCAUUACGGCGCUGAGUUCUCAGGAAACCCUAGGGUUUCCUUGCCUAUUUUUUGCUUUGGGCCUUUUGGGCCCCGUGUAAACCUAGGUCAAGGUGCUGGUUUUUUUUUUUUUGGGUGUAAAUGGGUCCAGUAAGCUUAAGUGGUUUGGAUUUGGGCUUUAGCACUGUAUUUAGGUGUUACCGGGUAGUACUUCUAUAUUGAAUCAAAACAUCUGGGCUUUGUAAUUGGACUUUUAAAUGGACAUUUUAAAUAAAUAAAUACUUAUUUAUUUAAUUCUUUUAUUCUGUUUUUAGCCGGUCAAAUUUGGGCUGCUACAGGGAAAUUAUCCUAUAUUGUUGAAAUGAAUGUCUAAUUGGGUUGUAUGCUAAAUAACCGGUAAGUUUACCUUCCUGUUAUCUGGACUUACUAAGCAUGUCAAUGCUUACCCUAUUUCAUUUCCCCUGUUUUUCAGAGCUUCCAGACUCGUGAAGAUUGGAAGACGAUUGGAGUAUUGUCAACACUAUCAACUUGUCUUGCCUUGGUAUAUAGAUACUUUUAUUUUGUUACAAUGGCAUGUAUAGGUUUUUGGUUAUUUUGUUAAAUGUGUCAUUUGGUUAGCCAAUGUAAGGGUUUGAAUGAUAUACCUAUUCAUUUUAUAUAUGGCCAUAAGGCAUGGCUCAUUUUGAUGUAGGAUUCACUCAAAGCACUCAAAGUGUUUAAGGUUCAAAUAAUGUACGCUUAACAAUCAAAUAAAGCUCUUCUUAAAUCACAUUUCCAGUCCCUCUUUUGAUAAGAGGAGAGAGCACAAUGAAUGCAACUCAUGAAAUAAAUCUGAUUCAACAGCAUAAUUUAACAUUCCCUUUAAAUAUAAAGACAUCAAAAUCGAAACUACUUCCCGAAAACAAUAAAAAAAUAAAAAUAUCCAACCUUUUCCAUCACAAUCCUACAUCAACUAAGCUUAGAUUAAACUCAGAUUUCAAUAGGAUAAUCACCAUUCUUUGAAUAAUCUUACUUUUCAUUAUUUUAAUUUCUCUUAAUUCAAAUUAGCUAUAAAUUUUAUUUAUUUCCAGAAAUUAAGUGCAAGCAAUAUAAUAUUUUCCUAACCCUAGGAAAGACAAUUUCCCAAAAGUUUAACAAAUCCAAAGUAAAUUAAAUAAAAAGGAUCUAAAACAGAGAGAUUGGGGAACGAAC
rnacentral:lncRNA from 1 species